rnacentral:tRNA from 1 species
GCCAGCAUGGUAUAGUGGCAUCAUGCGAAGUUUGUACCUUCGAGACGUGGGUUCGAUUCCUACUGUUGGCU